GAUGAACGCUGGCGGCGUGCUUAACACAUGCAAGUCGAACGGCAAGGCCCUGCUUUUGUGGGGUGCUCGAGUGGCGAACGGGUGCGUAACACGUGAGUAACCUGCCCUUGACUUUGGAAUAACUUCUGGAAACUGGGGCUAAUACCGGAUAGGAGCUCCUGCUGCAUGGUGUGGGUUGGUAAGUUUCGGCGGUUGGGGGUGGACUCGCGGCUUAUGAGCUUGUUGGUGGGGUAGUGGCUUACCAAGGCUUUGACGGGUAGCCGGCCUGAGAGGGUGACCGGCCACAGUGGGACUGAGAUACGGCCCAGACUCGUACGGGAGGCAGCAGUGGGGAAGAUUGCACGAUGGGCGGAAGCCGGAUGCAGCAACGCCGCGUGCGGGAUGAUGGCCUUCGGGUUGUAAACCACUUUCGCCUGUAACGAUGCGUUAGUGACGGUAAUGGAUAAAGAAGCACCGGCUAACUACGUG
rnacentral:rRNA from 1 species